rnacentral:rRNA from 1 species
UACGUAGGGGGCGAGCGUUAUCCGGAAUUACUGGGCGUAAAGCGUGCGCAGGCGGUCUGCUAAGAGAGAUGUGAAAUCCCCGGGCUUAACCUGGGAACUGCGUUUCUAACUGGCAGGCUUGAGUGUGGCAGAGGGGGGUGGAAUUCCACGUGUAGCAGUGAAAUGCGUAGAGAUGUGGAGGAACACCGAUGGCGAAGGCAGCCCCCUGGGCUAACACUGACGCUCAUGCACGAAAGCGUGGGGAGCAAACAGG